AUUGAACGCUGGCGGCAGGCCUAACACAUGCAAGUCGAGCGGAGCGGCGGACGGGUGAGGAAUGCCGAGGAAUCUGCCUGGUAGUGGGGGAUAACGUCCGGAAACGGGCGCUAAUACCGCAUAAUAGAAGAUGAGCCUAGGGCGGAGUAGCUAGUUGGUGGGGUAAAGGCUCACCAAGGCGACGAUCCGUAACGGGUCUGAGCGGAUGAUCAGUCAAACUGGAACUGAGACACGGUCCAGACUCCUACGGUAGGCAGCAGUGGGGAAUAUUGGACAAUGGGCGAAAGCCGGACCCAGCCAUGCCGCGUGUGUGAAGAAGGUCUUCGGAUUGUAAAGCACUUUAAGUUGGGAGGCGUUACCAACAGAAUAAGCACCGGCUAACUCCGUGCCAGCAGCCGCGGUAAUUC
rnacentral:rRNA from 1 species